UAAAAAGUAAGCUAAGUUUAAGCUUUCGGGUUCAUACCCCGAAUAUAGAUAUCAAAUCUCUUUUUAA
rnacentral:tRNA from 1 species